GAUAAUGUAUACACUAACUUAAGAUGAUGGCUCUUCUACUCUGCUAACAUAACAUGCAUGUGCUUGUGUGGAGUGCCUCCAAAAUUAAUAGCUCAAGUCUCUCAACACGCGGAUGGAUGAUGUUGUGGAGAGGGCCAUCGAGAGGGGGUUUGCAUUGACAAAGUUGAAGGUGGCCAUCGCCUUGACCUGCCUGGACCUCCUGACCUUUCACAACGCUCAAACAGGAAACUCAUGUUGGAGGAGGAGACCACAAGCUAAUUGAUGAUUUGGAUGAGUGGAUCAGAGGACGACAUGAGCAGGACCAUAGCGGACCAUUGCAAUGCGGCAAAUCAAAUUUCAAUACUCAACACUCUUCUAUGUGGAUUAACGAAGGGCAUGACGGAUGGCAUCAGCGGAAAGGUGAGCGCCGGUGGAGAUAAGCGAGAGAAGGAGUAGCGCGAGGCGGUAGGCAGCCUUGAAGAGGAUGAGUGGGCCCGCUGCUGGGGGAUGGUCCUAGGGAUUUUUGAAUCAACGAGAGCAGUGUCGGCCCAGGCUAUCUAGAAUGAUUGCAUGUAUUAAUGAAGUAGUCCACGUUAGGUGGAUUGGCUCAAAAUGGAGAAGCAUGAUUGUAUUAAGCAUUUAAGCUCUAAGCAAUUUAGAAUGUCAAUGUCUUGGGGCUCCCUUGCAAUAUUUCAGAGAACUAUAUUUUUCCAGACAUUUUAUAUUGCCUCACGAUGUUUGGGGGAUCUGAUUAGGUAUUGUUUCUCUAUAUAUCUAUCCAUCUCUCUAUUUUAGUUGCUAAUAGAAUAAUGAACAAUUGAUAGGACUAAUCUUAUAGACUUGUUUUCUCCUCAAUCCG